rnacentral:tRNA from 1 species
UGUGGCUCAGUAGUAGAGUACUUGCUUAGCAUGCAUGUGGCCCUAGGUUCAAUCCCCAGCA